rnacentral:rRNA from 1 species
AACGUAGGUGGCGAGCGUUAUCCGGAUUUACUGGGCGUAAAGCGUGUGCAGGCGGGUUGACAAGUGGUGUGUGAAAUCUCCGGGCUAAACCUGGAGGGGUUAUGCCAGACUGUCAUUCUAGAGUGCGGGAGAGGGGCGUGGAAUUCCGGGUGUAGUGGUGAAAUGCGUAGAUAUCAGGAAGAACAUCGGUGGCGAAGGCGCUCUGCUGGACCAUAACUGACACUCAGGGACGAAAGCUAGGGGAGCGAAUGGG